rnacentral:lncRNA from 1 species
AUGUUUCUUGAAAGAACACCUAUUGUUUCUUGUAAAAAUGAUGUCUUUUCACAUGGCAUUGAUGGUGAUUGGACCUCUACCAUGUUCCAAGUACUGAGGUAUGCACUGAGGACCCCAUGGCUUGAUGGAACAAUGGAUGGAUCAAUGUUGCAGUGGACAAGUGACUCUUGCAAGGAAGCUGUGUGCAGGCGUGGGGACAUGAUGAGAACACCAUGA